CAAACAGGAUCCGGAUCUACCUGGUGACGAACGUUCUCACCUGUAUACUACUAUCUAUUUACACACCUGCCGCCAAGUGGAGGACGUUUCAUUUCACACAAGAUCGCAGUGUACCCUGGACGCAUUUAAGAUGAAGAUUACGUAUCUGCUUCUCGUUGUCGGCCUGGUGUUAGUUUUGACCGACCGCUCCAGUUCUUUCAUAUGGAGACGAAACCGGCGGAUAUUCAACCCCUGUCGUAUCAUUGCCUGUACCCAUCACAAGACAAGGGAGGUAGAUCGUGACGACACCGUCGACGGCGACGUGAACAGCGUUAAAGACGAUGUUUCCCGGGACUUACCUCGAUUGCCUGAAGCUGAUCAGUUGGUAUGACCGGUGGAAUCACAGGACCACAUUAAUCCUGAUUCAGAAGGAUGACAUUCAGGAUGUCUCUAAAAAAUAACAUUACAGCACACCCAAAAGAAUGGCAUAUAUGGCAUUUGCGUUUGACAUUUAAUUUGUUAAAAUCCCUGAUUACAAUAUAUAACUCCUGAAUAUAA